GUGUCAGCAGCCGCGGUAAGACGGAGGGUGCAAGCGUUGCUCGGAAUUACUGGGCGUAAAGCGCGUGUAGGCGGUCCGGUAAGUCGAGUGUGAAAGCCCGAGGCUCAACCUCGGAAGUGCAUUCGAAACUGUCGGACUUGAGUACGGGAGAGGGAAGUGGAAUUCCUGGUGUAGAGGUGAAAUUCGUAGAUAUCAGGAGGAACACCGGUGGCGAAGGCGGCUUCCUGGACCGAUACUGACGCUGAGACGCGAAAGCGUGGGGAGCAAACAGGAUUAGAUACCCGUGUAGUCC
rnacentral:rRNA from 1 species